rnacentral:rRNA from 1 species
UUAAAUGUUCUUCGUGAACGUAGCGAACUGCUCAGUAGCACGUGGAUAACCUACCCUUAGGACCGGAAUAACCCCGGGAAACUGGGGAUAAUACCGGAUAAGCCAUAGACGCUGGAAUGCCCUAUGGUUCAAAGCUCCGGCGCCUAAGGAUGGAUCUGCGGUCUAUCAGGUUGUAGUGGGUGUAACGUACCUACUAGCCGACGACGGGUACGGGUUGUGAGAGCAAGAGCCCGGAGAUGGAUUCUGAGACACGAAUCCAGGCCCUACGGGGUGCAGCAGGCGCGAACACUUUACAAUGCGGGAAACCGCGAUAAGGGAACCCCGAGUGCCAGCAUCAAAUGUUGGCUGUCCAGAUGAUUAAAAAUCAUUUGUUAGCAAGGGCCGGGCAAGACCGGUGCCAGCCGCCGCGGUAACACCGGCGGCCCGAGUGGUAGCCGUUUUUAUUGGGUCUAAAGGGUCCGUAGCCGGCCUGAUAAGUCCUUUGGGAAAUCUGGCAGCUUAACUGUCAGGCUUCUAAGGGAUACUGUCAGGCUUGGGACCGGAAGAGGUAAGGGGUACUCCAGGGGUAGGAGUGAAAUCUUGUAAUCCCUGGGGGACCAUCUGUGGCGAAGGCGCCUUACCAGAACGGGUCCGACGGUGAGGGACGAAAGCUAGGGGAGCAAACCGGAUUAGAUACCCGGGUAGUCCUAGCUGUAAACGAUGCUCGCUAGGUGUCAGACACGGUGCGACCGUGUUUGGUGCCGCAGGGAAGCCGUUAAGCGAGCCACCUGGGAAGUACGGUCGCAAGGCUGAUACUUAAA